AAGUCGUAACAAGGUUUCCGUAGGUGAACCUGCGGAAGGAUCAUUAACCUUUCAAAUCAGGGUGCGUCGCGGCCCCCGAGGAGCGGAAACAAUCCUUGGGAGGUUUGCGGAGUCUUCGGACCCCUUAACGCACGCACGACUGCCAUCCUUACUUUACGAGCACCUUCUGUUCUCCCUCGGCGGGGCAACCUGCCGUUGGAACCGAAUAAACUCUUUUUGCAUCUAGCAUUACCUGUUCCGAAACAAACAAUCGUUACAA
rnacentral:misc_RNA from 1 species